UUGGAGGGCAAGUCUGGUGCCAGCAGCCGCGGUAAUUCCAGCUCCAAUAGCGUAUAUUAAAGUUGUUGCAGUUAAAAAGCUCGUAGUUGAAUUUCGGGAUCGACGGGUCGGUCGCGCCUCUGGUGUGUACUGGCCCUGUCGGUUUCUCCCUUCUGACGAACCACGAUGUCAUUAAUUUGGUGUCGUGGGGAAUCAGGACUGUUACUUUGAAAAAAUUAGAGUGUUUAAAGCAGGCUCGCGCUUGAAUACAUUAGCAUGGAAUAAUGAAAUAGGACGUUUGACCCUAUUUUGUUGGUUUCUAGGAUCGACGUAAUGAUUAAUAGGGAUAGUUGGGGGCAUUAGUAUUCAAUUGUCAGAGGUGAAAUUCUUGGAUUUAUUGAAGACUAACUACUGCGAAAGCAUUUGCCAAGGAUGUUUUCAUUAAUCAAGAACGAAAGUUAGGGGAUCGAAGACGAUCAGAUACCGUCGUAGUCUUAACCAUAAACUAUGCCGACUAGGGAUCGGAUGAUGUUAAUUUUUUAAUGACUCAUUCGGCACCUUACGGGAAAC
rnacentral:rRNA from 1 species